rnacentral:rRNA from 1 species
CCUACGGGAGGCUGCAGUGAGGAAUAUUGGUCAAUGGCCGGAAGGCUGAACCAGCCAAGCCGCGUGAGGGAAGAAGGCGCUUCGCGUCGCAGACCUCUUUUGCCGGGGGACAAAAGGCCGAACUCGUCCGGUCCUGAGGGUACCCGGAGAAAAAGCAUCCGCUAACUCCGUACCAGCAGCCGCGGUAAUACGGGGGAUGCGAGCGUUAUCCGGAUUCAUUGGGUUUAAAGGGUGCGCAGGGGGGCCGUUAAGCCGGUGGUGAAAUCGCGGGGCUCAACCCCGCCGAGCCGUUGGAACUGGGGGCCUUGAGUGCGGGGGAGGCAUGCGGAAUGCGCGGUGUAGCGGUGAAAUGCAUAGAUAUCGCGCAGAACCCCGAUUGCGAAGGCAGCGUGCCGGGCCGCCACUGACGCUGAGGCACGAAAGCGAGGGGAUCGAACAGGAUUAGAUACCCGAGUAGUC